CCAGAGAACCAUAGCUCAGUGGUAGAGCACCUGCUUUGCAUGCAAAAUAUCUGAGGUUCAAUCCCUGACAUCUUUGGG